UGUGAUUCUCUCUCUUGAGAUGCCUACAGUCAUCCCAUAGUGUGCUCUUGCUCUCUUCUUGUUCAUACUAACUCAUUCUGAAAUUCUUUUCUGUGUAGGAUGCCAGGGUCCAGGCUAUACCUAAGUGGAGGUCCCAUGGGACCUCUUGGGCUCUGUGGCUAGCAAGGUUCAUCAGGACACUGCACAACUUGAACAAGGUCACUGAAAAGACUUCAAGGGGGUUGAGAGCAGAGUCCAACACUGCAUGAACUCAAAGGCUCUGAGGGGAGGUGCUGGUGGCCAUGCUGAGCCUGAA
rnacentral:lncRNA from 1 species